rnacentral:rRNA from 1 species
AACGAACGCUGGCGGCAUGCCUAACACAUGCAAGUCGAACGAGACCUUCGGGUCUAGUGGCGCACGGGUGCGUAACGCGUGGGAACCUGCCUUUAGGUUCGGAAUAACUCAGAGAAAUUUGAGCUAAUACCGGAUGAUGUCUUCGGACCAAAGAUUUAUCGCCUUUAGAUGGGCCCGCGUUGGAUUAGCUAGUUGGUGGGGUAAAGGCCUACCAAGGCGACGAUCCAUAGCUGGUCUGAGAGGAUGAUCAGCCACACUGGGACUGAGACGCGGCCCAGACUCCUACGGGAGGAAGGAGUGGGGAAUAUUGGACAAUGGGCGAAAGCAUGAUCGAGCAAUGCCGCGUGAGUGAUGAAGGCCUUAGGGUUGUAAAGCUCUUUUACCCGAGAUGAUAAUGACAGUAUCGGGAGAAUAAGCCCCGGCUAACUCCGUG